AAGUCGUAACAAGGUUUCCGUAGGUGAACCUGCGGAAGGAUCAUGAAUGUACAUGGGCACGCCGUACGGCUGCCUUGUCAUGUGUGAACACACCACGCCUUCCCACUGGCUAGACAUAGCUGUGGGGCAUAUACGAAUGAAUGCAGGGACACGAUAUACACAUACAACUUUUAGCGAUGGAUCUCUUGGCUCUC
rnacentral:misc_RNA from 1 species